CUCUCUUCUCUAUGGAUCCGCCAUGUGAUCCCGGGAAGAGGACACCAGUGGAAGGCAUCCUCCAUAAGAUAAGUCUCAUAAAAUAUAUAGAUUUAUGAUAAUUAAGACUGAGCUAGCAUAUAAGAAAUACUAGUCAAUUGGCCAGCAGCAUUGUAAACUAAUAUAAGACCCUGUGUUAUUUUGGGCAACCAUGUGGCAGCCAGUGGAACUCGGGCAGUGGCGGAAAGACUUAUAGUAACACCCCAUUCCACCUUGUCAAACCCUAAAGAAGCUGCUGGCUAGUUGUCCUGACCUGCAGGACAUCAAUCUGGGGCAAGAGAGUCAGGGGACAAGAGACACAGAAAGAACGACCACAAGACAGGAUUCUGAUCAAGUGGAAAACUUUACUUUUCUCAGGCUAGCUUAUAUAGUCAGGAUAUGGGGAGGGGCAGAAUGGGUUGUUUGUGCACCAGGUGUUGGUAUAGGCAGGAUGUUUGGAAGCCACAAAGAGGAUGUUUGGCGAGGUAAAAAGUUCAUGUGUAAGAGGUCCAGGAAGGGGUUGCCUAGGUGACUGAGCCUGUGGGUGGAGGACUGGGUCAAGUUGUUUCUUUUCUUGAGCUAAGGUUCUAAGGAGCUGCUAUGUAAAGGUUAACUAUGUGACCUGCCAAGCAUGGCCUAGAAUCUCAUGCCAAGCCCUGAGAUUUGGCUCCCAACAGCUAGUCACUCACAAUGAUAAUGUGAUCCAGAAACAAGAUGGAGAGCCAAAAGAAACUAUUUGGGCAAUAAUCCAAAAUUAGUGCCACCAUCUGCCUCUCUUUCUAAUAAUGCCACACUACCCAUCCUGCUUUUAAAUAAUUGGAAAAAUAUCGUAAGACUAAUGAAAGACAACCUAUGUUUCUAUCUUUCUAGUCCUCUUCUCCAGGUGAUGCCAUUAUCUACUGUUCCUUGGUUUCUGACAACCCAUAAUAGAAAGCCAUUAACUUGGACUCCAUAACAGAAAGCAAGGCAGUUUCUCAAGUCACAACACCUACUUCCAACAGGUCUUAAACUUUGAGUCACCUGGACUUUAGUCUCUUUCUCUUUCUCCUCUAACUUUGUUAACAGAUUUUUGCCUGUCAUGAUCACUGCACCUUGCUUUCCUGAAGUCCUUCUGACCACUCUCCUUAGUAUAUUAAUAAAAUAAUGUUCAACAUAGCAGAGACCAGAGAGAACCCAUCCUAGUCCUGCUUAGUUUGUCAGUCAUGAAUGGGAAAGUUACUAUUGUUAGUGGAUUACUGUGAGGAACUCUAUCUCAAAGCAAACAAACAAACAAAACAAACAGAAAAGCACCAGCCAUUUCAGAGAUAAAGCACAGUAAUCUGUAAAAUAAGACUGAUAGGAUUUUUGUUGUUGUUGUUUUUGCCUAGAGAAGAUAGAAAGCUAAAAUAUGCCUUUUAGCUGAGUGUCUCCAGUCUCAUGGAGUUAAUUGAUGGCAUUUGUCUGGAAGAGUAGAGAAUGUUAUAGAAGGCAGCAGAGGAGAAAAGUGAAUUGAAGUUUUAAAUAGAAGAUGACUUCAAUUUCGAACAGUGAAGCACAUGAGAAUUUAUGAAUGACCAUGAGAAAAGCAUCAGGGCAGAGCACUUGCAUCAUUGAUGACAUCUACUCCAGUUGCUGGGGCACUGUGACAGGGAAGCACCAAUGACUAUAGUAGUUGAUAAUAGCUAGAUUCACAACAAAAAGGAAAAAAGUUCUGUCAUAAAUAAAACCACCGAUUUGUGUUGCAGACUUUAGCCAGAUCACAUAAGCUAUUACGAUAAAAUGUCCUAAGGCUUUUUUUUUUUUUUGAAGGGACUCUAAACAGAAAAGACAAAAUGUGAGAUUUGGCAUAAGCAUGUGGUUAAAUGAGUUUCACCUUCGAAUAGGACUGCCGAAAAUUACUCCAUAACUUCAAGGAUUUGCAUAAAGAAAAACUGGAGCAAAGGUCAAGCUAAGUCUGCAGAAGUUUAGACUUACUUCGGGAACCAGAGGGUAUUGCCCGAGCAUUUAUAUUUCAAUCCUGGAACUAGUAGCAGAAGAGACAAAAUUCAAAUGGCAAGUGGCACCCAGACUGAUUUCUAAGAAGCUUCCCAGAAAUUACUGUCCAGUGUCUGCACUUCAUCUGUUGGUCAGAAAAAUGACAGAAACAUCUAGUCUUGCAAAAAUGUAGGGAGAUAUCAUUACCUGAAUAACUGUGCUUCUUAGGAAACAUAAGAAAGUAGAUUGGGAGGUGGUAAAUGCAGAACCAUGGCUUUGUUUUGAGGCUUUGAAAUGUUGACGGGGGAGGGGUGUACAGAAGAGGCUUUUAAUAUUCAGAUUCUUGUAUUUAAUAUUAUUAGAGUAAUGGGAUAGAAAGCAAGAGGAAAAACACACUAAGGGAAGGGCAUAGAGGGAAAUGGAUGAAUGUGACUUACAACCCAACUGCUGUAUAAUGAAUUAAACAACCCAUUACAAUAAUGAGAUUUUAAAAUCAUUGUUA
ensembl:lncRNA